rnacentral:sRNA from 2 species
UCCGGGCGGACGCUGAAUCCUGCCGCCGCACCGGAUGUCUGGUCGACGGAAUUGCAUCGGCAGGAGUGGAGGACCCGAGCAGUACGGCGUGACCGGUGAUGCCGGACACGCCUUGGGGUGAAGCCGCCGCGGCGGCCGGGCGUCUUCGCCGUCCGAACCCGACAGGUCACCCUUCACAGGCGGCUGACGAAGGGUUG